rnacentral:rRNA from 1 species
CGUAGGGUGCGAGCGUUAAUCGGAAUUACUGGGCGUAAAGCGUGCGCAGGCGGUUUUGUAAGACAGGCGUGAAAUCCCCGGGCUCAACCUGGGAACUACGCUUGUGACUGCAAGGCUAGAGUACGGCAGAGGGGGUGGAAUUCCACGUGUAGCAGUGAAAUGCGUAGAGAUUUGGAGGAACACCAAUGGCGAAGGCAGCCCCCUGGGUCGAUACUGACGCUCAUGCACGAAAGCGUGGGUAGCAAACAGGAUUAGAUACCCUGGUAGUCCACGCCCUAAACGAUGUCAACUAGGUGUUGGGUGGGUAAAACCAUUUAGUACCGGAGCUAACGCGUGAAGUUGACCGCCUGGGGAGUACGGCCGCAAGGUUA